rnacentral:rRNA from 1 species
CCUACGGGUGGCAGCAGUGAGGAAUAUUGGUCAAUGGGCGAGAGUCUGAACCAGCCAAGUAGCGUGAAGGAUGACUGCCCUAUGGGUUGUAAACUUCUUUUAUAUGGGAAUAAAACGUUCCACGUGUGGGAUUUUGUAUGUACCCUAUGAAUAAGGAUCGGCUAACUCCGUGCCAGCAGCCGCGGUAAUACGGAGGAUCCGAGCGUUAUCCGGAUUUAUUGGGUUUAAAGGGUGCGUAGGUGGAUUGUUAAGUCAGUUGUGAAAGUUUGCGGCUCAACCGUAAAAUUGCAGUUGAAACUGGCAGUCUUGAGUACAGUAGAGGUGGGCGGAAUGCGUGGUGUAGCGGUGAAAUGCUUAGAUAUCACGAAGAACUCCGAUUGCGAAGGCAGUUCACUGGACUGCAACUGACACUGAGGCUCGAAAGUGUGGGUAUCAAACAGGAUUAGAUACCCGGGUAGUC